rnacentral:rRNA from 1 species
UACGAAGGGGGCUAGCGUUGCUCGGAAUCACUGGGCGUAAAGCGCACGUAGGCGGCUCUUUAAGUCAGGGGUGAAAUCCUGGAGCUCAACUCCAGAACUGCCUUCGAUACUGAGAGUCUUGAGUCCGGGAGAGGUGAGUGGAACUGCGAGUGUAGAGGUGAAAUUCGUAGAUAUUCGCAAGAACACCAGUGGCGAAGGCGGCUCACUGGCCCGGUACUGACGCUGAGGUGCGAAAGCGUGGGGAGCAAACAGG